UCCCGGCGGUCCAAGUCGCAUCCACAAUUAUUGGGUCUAAAACAUUCGUAGCUUGCUAUUUAAGUUUCUUGUGAAAUCUUACAUCUUAAGUGUAAGGCGUGCAAGAAGUACUAUUUAGCUAGAGACCGGUAGACGCAAAGAGUACGAUUGAGGUAGCGGUAAAAUGUAUUAAUCUUAAUCGGACUAACAAUGGCGAAGGCACUUUGCGAGCACGGAUCUGACAGUGAGGAAUGAAGGCUAGGGGCGCAAAAGG
rnacentral:rRNA from 1 species